AUACUGACCUGACAGGGCAGACACCAUGAUCAAGAAGGUGGUUCACCCAGGGAUGAGGCCCAGCCAUUCGCAUGCCGGUUGUGCUGACCUCUGCGAAUUCCCCAAAUGUGGGGAUCUUCGACUGCAUAAUUUCUGGUAGUGGGGGUACUAUGUUCGUGUUCUCCCCUG